UGCUUGUGUAGGAUAGGUGGGAGGCUUUGAAGCGUGGACGCCAGUUCGCGUGGAGCCAACCUUGAAAUACCACCCUGGCAACUUUGAGGUUCUAACUCAGGUCCGUUAUCCGGAUCGAGGACAGUGUCUGGUGGGUAGUUUGACUGGGGCGGUCUCCUCCCAAAGAGUAACGGAGGAGUGCGAAGGUAACCUCAGCGCGGUCGGAAAUCGCGCAGUGAGUGCAUAGGCAUAAGGUUGCUUGACUGCAAGACAAACAAGUCGAGCAGGUACGAAAGUAGGUCUAAGUGAUCCGGUGGUUCUGUAUGGAAGGGCCAUCGCUCAACGGAUAAAAGCUACCCUGGGGAUAACAGGCUUAUC
rnacentral:rRNA from 1 species